rfam:Nasonia vitripennis unplaced genomic scaffold ChrTn_0243, whole genome shotgun sequence.
GGGUUUUCAAUGAACGUUCACCUUCACGUGGUGAAACCCGGGCAACGUUACAUUCAGCAGCGGCUAAGAACGUUCAC